rnacentral:rRNA from 1 species
AAUACAUGCAAGUCGCGCGGACGGUCUACGACGUCAGCGGCGGACGGGUGAGUAACGCGUAGGAAUCUAUCCUUGGAAUGGGGGACAACCGUGGGAAACUACGGCUAAUACCGCAUGAUGCCUGAGGGCCAAAGACGAAAGUCGUUUGAGGAGGAGCCUGCGUCUGAUUAGGUAGUUGGUGGGGUAAAGGCCUACCCAAGCCUACGAUCAGUAGCUGGUCUGAGAGGAUGAUCAGCCACAUUGGGACUGAGACACGGCCCAAACUCCUACGGGAGGCAGCAGUGGGGAAUAUUGGACAAUGGGCGCAAGCCUGAUCCAGCAAUGCCGCGUGGGUGAAGAAGGUCUUCGGAUUGUAAAGCCCUUUUGGCGGGGACGAUGAUGACGGUACCCGCAGAAUAAGCUCCGGCUAACUUCGUG